rnacentral:rRNA from 1 species
GUCUUUUAGAUUUUAAUUUAAAGUCUAGCCUGCCCAAUGAAUAAUUAAAUGGCCGCAGUAUUUUGACUGUGCAAAGGUAGCAUAAUCAUUAGUUUUUUAAUUAAAAACUGGAAUGAAAGGUUGGACGAGAAAAUAACUGUCUCUGUAUAAAUUUUUUAUAAUUUUAUUUUUAAGUUAAAAAGCUUAAAUAAUUUUAAAAGACGAGAAGACCCUAUAGAGUUUUAUUAUUAUAAUAAUAAAUAUUUAUUUAGAAUUAAUUUAUUUUUAUUUAAUUAUUAAUUUAAUUGGGGUGAUUAAAAAAUUUAAAUAACUUUUUUUUUUAAUUAACAUUAAUUUAUGAAUUUUUGAUCCAUUUUUAUGAUUAUAAGAUUAAAUUACCUUAGGGAUAACAGCGUUAUUUCUUUUUAGAGUUCUAAUCGAUGAAGAAGUUUGCGACCUCGAUGUUGGAUUAAAAUUAAUUUAUGGUGUAGAAGCUAUAAUAUUAGGUCUGUUCGACCUUUAAAAUUUUACA